UCGGCUCUCCUUAGCAUUCCCGCGUGCUAUAAUGCUGUUUGCUGUGUGCUUCUUUCUUAAAAUAAAAGCCGAAAGCCGAAGUUUCUGUAUCUUUAUUUAUAAUAAGCAAAAAGGAAUCAAAACUUAAAAAAAAAGAAAAAAAAAGAGUCCGAAAAUGGCAAUGAGACCAGCACCGAGUCGAUUCAAUACUGCGACGCGGUAUCGGUCAAUGAGUCAACUCGUGGUGCUAUUCGGUACUUGAACGAUGGUAAGGGCCGGAUCCUGAGUGAAGAGGAACGCGGUAAGGAGAACGUCUACAUCCAGGUUUUAUUUUGAUUUAAUUUACGACCGAGUCUGUUUGUUUCUGGAGAAAGAUAAAGCUAGCGGUAGUAAGAUGAAAGAAAUUGAUGAAGCAAGUAAUAUUAAAGUUGAAUCGGAUCGUUAUCUUAUUGCUUAGGGAGGUUGAUUCUUUCUACAUAGUGUAAACCAUAGAGGGAGGUUGAUUCUCUUCCAUUGGUUAAAAUUGCUUAGAAAAUGGAGAGGGAGAGGAUGGACAAGGUGAAGAAGAAGGCUGACAAGGAAAAGGCAGAGAAAGAGAAACAGGGUGCUGAGAAGACCACCGAAGAGGCCUACAAGGGUUGAUUGGAACAUCUAUAGUACAUUAUGACUCGUUUGCUUUGAACCUAAUAAUGACAAGUAGUAUAACUUUUGGUGAGAUUUGCUUCUUUGUACUGGGUGUGGCUCUUUCUUAAUGUCCAUUCUCCAAAACAGUAGCUGGUAAUCUUGUUCCAUGUGGUUGUUAAUCAGUUGUGAUGCCUUUUUUUCUACACUUGGAAUAAUAUUGUGAUGUUUGAGAA